rnacentral:lncRNA from 1 species
CGCCAGGGCUCACGAGGAGGAUGUGUCGCAGUUUUGAGGCUUUCUAUGCUCAUUCUUGGCUUGUGAUUUAGUGUUGUUCUUGUGUUUCUAUUUCUUCUCUACAGGUUGACAAUUAUAGGUUGAGGGUUUUGAUCUUGUAAUUUGGGGGUUUGGUUUUAGGGUUUCUGAAUUUAGGAAUCUUUUGGGGGUUUCUGUUCAUAGUUUUUCUAAUGUUAUGAUUGGAGGAGUUGGAAUCUUUGUUUUCAAAUUGGAUUUUGGGGAUUUCCUGUACUUGUGUUCUUUUAUUUCUUUUUGAAAUUUGGAGUUAGGGGUUCUGGUUCU